UACGUAGGCAGCAAGCGUUGUUCGGAAUUACUGGACGUAAAGAGUGUGUAGGUGGUGUCGUAAGUUUGGUGUGAAAUCUCCCGGCUUAACUGGGAGGGUGCGCCGAAGACUGCGAUGCUGGAGUAUGGGAGAGGAAAGCGGAAUUCCUGGUGUAGCGGUGAAAUGCGUAGAUAUCAGGAGGAACACCUGCGGUGUAGACGGCUUUCUGGACCAUUACUGACACUGAGACACGAAAGCGUGGGUAGCAAACAGG
rnacentral:rRNA from 1 species